AAGACUAUAGACCUGCGGAGUACCUGCGGAAGGAUCAUUAACGUAUCUAUGAUGGGGUGCGGAGCGCCCUGCUCCGGUCGAACGGCCGUGCAGCGGGUGCGCCGCCCCCGUCCCACCUCACAAACCCACUGUGAACAUUCAUCGGUGGAGGGGGCUCGGUCUGCGCCGUGUCCCCGAUGCCGAAUACCCAAACUCCAGUUGCAAAGAACGUCGUGCGGACUCGGUGCCGCCUAAAACAUG
rnacentral:misc_RNA from 1 species